GCCUGCCGCCAUGUAAACGUUCUUUGCUCCUGCUUCGUCUUCUGCCGUGAUUGUGAGGCCUCCCCAGCCAUGUGGAACUACUCAUCACUCACUGCAGAUGUUACUUUAAGACAUUCUGGAGCAGCGUCAUGUGCAGGUGCGUAGUGCCUCCGCCCAUCUCUCUCUUGCUCCUGGUCUCAUCGUGACGGGCCUGGUCCUGCCUCACUUUAUGCCACGACUAAGAGCUCCCUGAGGCCUCUCCAGAAGCAGAUAUCACUAUGCUUCCUACACAGCCUGCAGAACCGAACAAUAAGGAAGUGAGUGCUUUUGUAAUUCCUGAACAACUGUGUCUUACACUUACUAAGGCCUUUGAGCUUAUACUGAAUUAUACCACCAGCUUUCCUAGGUCUUGAAGCUUACAGACAGCAGAUCUUGGGACUUCUCAGGCACCAUAAUCAAUCAUAGAUAAAUGAUCCAAUGAUUCGGAACUUGAAAAGUGGUAGCUUUAUGAAUUCUCCUUAAGAAGAAACCUGUGCCCUGAUCUUGCCUACUCACCCAAAGGCACUGUGAGAUAGCAUCAAAGGAACAGCUAGUAAGAGACACAGAGCCAGAAAUCAGGGAAGUAAAAUACACUUGACAUCUACGUUCGGAAAGAAAUUUUAGGAGGCAGAAGCAAAUGGAUCAGAAGCUGCUUAUAUUUUUGCAAGAUUACCAAAGAAACCAUUGGUGGAGAAAGUUCUGUGACCAACUUGUCUGAGUCUAGUAAGAUUGAACGCUCACACACAAGUUUCAUGAAGUGGGUUUGAUACUUACAGAUAAGCAGCAAGGACCAACAGAAGCUGAUGAUCUAUGGUGAACUUUUUCCCAAGGCUCCGGAAAGCUGCCUAAAGUAGAUGGAGUCUUCUCUGUGUGUGCCCCACUGGUCCUGCAGUUGAAGGAUCCGGUAAAGCAGCCUGCCCUUGGUUUUAUACUCCAGAGGAACGUGAUUCGCUGGACUAAAGCAUUGAAGUGCAUCCUGUUUCCGGGGGGCACUGGAACAGAGCCUGGUCUGUUCUAGCCAGUCCCUUUCUAUCUCAGGAUAACAUUCUACAGUUAUUCUUGAGAACUAUAAUCAAAUAAGCAGGGAGAACUGGGUAAGUCCAAGGCUUAUCUAUACAAGCCUUUAAAUAUUCAAGACCAAAAAAAAAAAAAAAAAAAAAAAAAA
rnacentral:lncRNA from 1 species